GGGGGGAGCAAGCGUUGUUCGGAAUCACUGGGCGUAAAGGGCGUGUAGGCGGUCAUGUAAGUGGGAUGUGAAAGCCCUCGGCUCACCCGAGGAUCUGCAUCUCAAACUGCAUGGCUUGAGUAUGGGAGAGGAUGAGGGAAUUCCUGGUGUAGCGGUGAAAUGCGUAGAUAUCAGGAGGAACACCGGUGGCGAAGGCGCUCAUCUGGCCCAAUACUGACGCUGAGGCGCGAAAGCUAGGGGAGCAAACGGGAUUAGAUACCCCGGUAGUCCUAGCCGUAAACGGUGAUCACUAGGUGUUGGAGGCAUCGACCCCUCCAGUGCCGCAGCUAACGCAUUAAGUGAUCCGCCUGGGGAGUACGGCCGCAAGGUUG
rnacentral:rRNA from 1 species